rnacentral:rRNA from 1 species
GAGGAAUAUUGGGCAAUCCCCGAAAGGGUGACCCAGCAACGCCGCGUGGAGGAUGAAGGUCGUAAGAUUGUAAACUCCUGUUAGAGGGGAAGAAUAACUAAGUUUGGAGCUUAGUAUGACUGUACCCUCAGAGAAAGCCCCGGCUAACUACGUGCCAGCAGCCGCGGUAAUACGUAGGGGGCAAGCGUUGUCCGGAUUUACUGGGUGUAAAGGGCGCGCAGGCGGAAUGGAAAGUCAGUGGUGAAAUCCUACAGCUUAACUGUAGAACUGCCUUUGAUACUUUCAUUCUUGAGUACGGGAGGGAGAGACGGAAUUCCAGGUGUAGUGGUGAAAUACGUAGAUAUCUGGAAGAACACCAGUUGCGAAGGCGGUCUCUUGGUCCGAUACUGACGCUGAGGCGCGAAAGCGUGGGGAGCAAACA